rnacentral:rRNA from 1 species
CGCGUGCUAUGGCAUGGGCGAAGCCUGAUCCAGCAAUGCCGCGUGUGUGAAGAAGGUCUUCGGAUUGUAAAGCACUUUUGGCAGGGACGAUGAUGACGGUACCUGCAGAAUAAGCCCCGGCUAACUUCGUGCCAGCAGCCGCGGUAAUAAUCAGCCGCAGCCGCGGUAAUAAAAGUUUUUCUACCCCCAUGGUGGGAGAAAAAAAAAACAGU